GUAGGUGGCAAGCGUUAUCCGGAAUUAUUGGGCGUAAAGCGCGCGCAGGCGGUUCUUUAAGUCUGAUGUGAAAGCCCACGGCUCAACCGUGGAGGGUCAUUGGAAACUGGAGAACUUGAGUACAGAAGAGGAAAGCGGAAUUCCACGUGUAGCGGUGAAAUGCGUAGAGAUGUGGAGGAACACCAGUGGCGAAGGCGGCUUUCUGGUCUGUAACUGACGCUGAGGCGCGAAAGUGUGGGGAGCAAACAGGAUUAGAUACCCUGGUAGUCCACGCCGUAAACGAUGAGUGCUAAGUGUUAGGGGGUUUCCGCCCCCCUUAGUGCUGCAGCUAACGCAUUAAGCACUCCGCCUGGGAGUACGGCCGCAAGGCUG
rnacentral:rRNA from 1 species